GGAGAGAUGUGAGAGCGGUUUAAUCAGCACGCUUGGAAAGCGUGUAUAGUAGCAAUACUAUCGAGGGUUCGAAUCCCUCUCUCUCCGCCA
rnacentral:tRNA from 2 species